rnacentral:ncRNA from 1 species
UGUUUGGAGAGUUUGAUCCUGGCUCAGGACGAACGCUGGCGGCGUGCUUAACACAUGCAAGUCGAGCGGAAAGGCCCUUCGGGGUACUCGAGC